GAUCUCUUAAUAGUUGUUGAUGGAUUGAGAUUUCAAAGGACAAUGAGAAAACACUAUUCUGCAAUGAGGUCUACUUUCUUCACUGUGGAGUCGGCACUCGAGGUGGGCAGCGAAUGGAGACCCCCUGCUUCCCUCAGGGGCCACAGGGACAUGCUGACUGCUUCCAGGACCGGUGAGAGACCAGGAGCUUGACAGAAAAUCUACCUAUUCAGAGAAUCCUACCUGGAAAAGCAAAAUAUGAAAAAAGAUUAGUGGAAGAGAAAAACAAAGGAAAAAUUAGAAAGAAGAGGAAAAACAUCUGCAUGUCAGGCAUCAAACCAUAGGAUGUCAAGAGUAGAUUCCACUUUCAAUUUUUUAUUCUAAUGUGUAUUCUGUGUUUGUAAUAUAGAUGCUGCAUUGACUGAUGCUCUAUAAAUACUGUACUAGACAUAGA